AGGUACAGACAUCGUGAUGGU
rnacentral:siRNA from 1 species